rnacentral:rRNA from 1 species
UACAGAGGGGGCAAGCGUUGUUCGGAAUUACUGGGCGUAAAGGGCGCGUAGGCGGCCCGCUAAGUCGAACGUGAAAUCCCCCGAGCUCAACUCGGGAACUGCGUCCGAUACUGGAUGGCUUGAAUCCGGGAGAGGGAUGCGGAAUUCCAGGUGUAGCGGUGAAAUGCGUAGAUAUCUGGAGGAACACCGGUGGCGAAGGCGGCAUCCUGGACCGGUAUUGACACUGAAAAGCGAAAGCCAGGGGAGCAAACGGG